CAACUCUGUUUUUGGUUCCUUUUUUAUUUUCCCGAGCUAAUUUUUUUGUCAUCUUCCCCAUAUGGGUUGUAAGUUAUGUGUUUGAUGAAAUGCCUAAAUGAAGUUUUAGUUUUUAAUCUUAAAAAUUCAUGUGCAUCAGUGCACAUCCUGCAAAUUCCACGCUGGGUGUCUAAUGAAUGAUACAUGCAAGAUUUUGAUGAUAAUCAUUGUAACAAUUGAUUGGUAUUGAUAUCAUUUAUAUUCUUUAAUUAUUUUAAUCCAUUGUUCAACAGGAAGAAGCGCAGGUUUUUUUCUUGUUCUCUCUAAGUUUGUGUUUUUUUAUUUUCUUUAAUUAUUAUUAUUAUUAUUAUUAUUAUGUAGUUGGGUAUCCUUUUUUAUCUUAUAAUGGCCGAGUGAACUUUGAAAUUUUUCUUUGAGGUUCCUGGUGUGUGUAGGUGGUGAUAACAAAGAAAAUCAAAAAAGGUCUUAGAAGAUUAAAAAGGCUUUAAUAGGUCGAAUUGGUUGCCUUGAGCAGCCAGUGUUAACAUGCAAAGUCGGGUGGGGAUUCCAAUGAUAUGUCGACUGAGGUUGUCAAGAAUUCUUGGAAAAAAAGAGCAAAGGAAUCAGUCAUGAUUAGCAAAGGGGAGGGCUCUGAUUUUGUGGCAAAAGCUGUGGAUUUAGUAGCCAGAGAAUUAAUAACAAGUGCAUCACUAGGACAAGGUUUGAUCUGCGUUGCUUUUUUUCUCUUGCUAUGAAUCCUGAUAUGUGCCAAAUUGAAUAUAGGCUUCCUGCAAUGGUAGUUACACAGGUACAGCUUGACCGUGCCAAGGUAUUCACGAAGUCUGCAGUUCUAAUGAAUUUAGAGUCCAGAAAGGAGUAGUGGAUACAAUUUAGGAUCAUUGUUACAAUAGGCAAAAUUGAUGGUGAUCGUACAUAGUGGCUAGGGAAGGAUAUAAUGGCUACUACUGCAGUUAUUGGACUCGGUGGAGGAAAGAGACUCUUGAGUUCAUCAUACCAUUACUUUGAUAUUAUAGAAAAGCUUUCUUAUGGCACUGAUUUUGGAUCCACACACUAUCAAAUUGGAUUUAAGUAUUAUGACUUUUUCAUCGUAACCAUGAACAUAUUUCAUUUUAUGUUGAGUAUUGGCAAUUGUUCCUUAUGUUAUCAUGUGCUUGGCAUGAUAUCAGAAGAGAGCUUGGAAUGGAAAUAAUUGAGGAACAUACGGUGAUGGAAUAUUCUAAGGUCAACAAGAAAUGUGAAAAAUGUGGCCAUGGGGAAGCUAUCUAUUAUACUAGACAUGUAUCUUUAAUGUAGAUUUGCC